rnacentral:lncRNA from 10 species
CGGCCGGACUGAGAAGGGGAGCGCGCUGCGCGUCGCAGGAGUAACCUACUUGGUCUCCUGCUUUCGCGACAUGGCCUUCAAUUUUGGGGCUCCCUCGGGCACCUCCGGUACCGCUGCAGCCACCGCGGCCCCCGCGGAUCAUAUCUGAAGAUAUUAGUGAGCUACAAAAGAAUCAAACUACAUCUGUAGCCAAAAUUGCACAAUACAAGAGGAAACUCAUGGAUCUUUCCCAUAGAACUUUACAGGUAGUAAUUUGGAUUUUCCCCCCCAGUGUUUAUAAGACUAUGUGUGUGAAAUAAUGUACUAAAUAUAGA